rnacentral:rRNA from 1 species
UGGGGAAUAUUGGACAAUGGAGGAAACUCUGAUCCAGCAAUUCUGUGUGUGUGAAGAAGGUUUUAGGACUGUAAAACACUUUUAGUAGGGAAGAAAAAAAUGACGGUACCUACAGAAGAAGCAACGGCUAAAUACGUGCCAGCAGCCGCGGUAAUACGUAUGUUGCGAGCGUUAUCCGGAAUUAUUGGGCUUAAAGGGCAUCUAGGCGGUAAGACAAGUUGAAGGUGAAAACCUGUGGCUCAACCAUAGGCUUGCCUACAAAACUGUUGAACUAGAGUACUGGAAAGGUGGGUGGAACUACACGAGUAGAGGUGAAAUUCGUAGAUAUGUGUAGGAAUGCCGAUGAUGAAGAUAACUCACUGGACAGAAACUGACGCUGAAGUGCGAAAGCUAGGGGAGCAAACAGGA